UUUUUUUACGUUGAUUGCCUAUUGCGCCGGCAGGCAUCUUCCCGGUGGGGCCUGAUGGUCGGCCCAAGGCUUCUUCCAGGUGGGGCCUGAUGGUCGGCCCAGCCCGUUCUGGCGCAGGCGAGUGUUUAUAGUGGCGCCAUCUUGCAUUGGCUCAUGCUGCCCCCCAGAACUCGUUCUUGAUUCACUUGGACGGCUUCCUCUAGAGUCCGGGUUGAUGGGUGGUCUUCAGGACAGCAUGUGGGUAGUUUUAAGCCACUCGGCGGUGACUGAAAAAUCCGAGUGGUAGCGUGGGGAUUCGAACCCGCGUCGUCCAUCACGCGGUGAAUGUGGGUCCAGUACGCUACCACCUACGCCACCGCCUACUACAGGAAUGGAACAAAAAGUGGCUGCUACAAUUCAAUGAAGAAAAAUGUAAAGUCCUGCACCUUGGGAGGGGAUAUCCAGCAUACCAAUACCACAAGGGAAACACUCCAUUAUCCACCACAGAGGCAGAGAAAGACCUGGGAGUAUAUGUUACCAGGCUACCAGUCUGUUCAUGUGUGUGGCGAGGACGUUGAGACCUUAGAAAGUUUCAUGUAUCUUGGUAGCGUAGUUCAUAACAAUGGUGAGUCUGGCCAGGAAGUCUUAUGGCAAAUUGGCCUGGCCCACGGUGUUAUGGACUCGCUCAACAUGAGUAUAUGGUGUUGUCGAUACCUGUGUAGAAGGACAAAGAUCCGGGUCUUCAAGUCCCUUGUGCUCCCUGUCUUACUCUAUGGUUGUGAGACAUGGACACUAAAUGGGGACCUGGAGAGGCGGAUUGAUGCCUUUGGUAAUAAAUGUCUACGCAGAAUCAUAGGAUAUCACUGGAAUGACUUUGCGUCAAACUGGCGACUACUCCGUGAGACUGAUUCGACACAUAUUACCUGCAUAGUCCGUCAUUGCCAACUCCGGCUAUACGGGCACGUGGCACGUCACCCUGAAGCUGAUCCUGCUCAUCGGGUUGUCUUUGUAAGAGACAAUCCUGAGUGGAGGAGGCCAAAGAGAAAGUUGGAAAGUUUUGUUUAGCCGGCGCAACAUCUAUGGUCACAUGCCGUAAAGAGACAGAAGGGGAAGGAAUUAUAUGAGAAGGGAACAGAUCCCAGGAGACGGGACACAACCCCCGAUUAAUACCUGGUACCCAUUCACUGUUGGGUGGACAGGGGCGUAGGGUAUCAGAAAAGCCGCCCAAAUUUUUCCACUCUGCCUGGGAAUCGAACCUGGGCUCUCUCGGUUGUGAGCCGAGUGUGCUAACCACUGCACCACGAAGCCCCGUGAGACCAAGGGGACACCCAUGGAGUUCGUGGCUUCAGCAAGUCGAUAGAUCCUGCCGGGAGGUACUUGGGUUGGGAAGGGGGCCUGCAUGGAGACUUGCCCGGGGGGCCCCCCGGGCUUGGCAUCGUAGGGUGGGCGAGGCGAGGCGCCCCCUGGCGUAUGCCCCCACUGAUUGAUUACCAGUGAAAACCAAGUCCGUGCCAAUCGCAGCGGACGGGUUAACAAGUUAAAGAUUUGAGUUUUUUUAGCACUUUACUGGCUCACGGCACACCACACCACCACCACGUGCACCUUCCUUCCCACAGUGACCAUGCUUAAGGUUUCUGUGAGGCUCAAACAAGAUCACCUUACUAGAAAUUCCAUUUUAGUGAAAAUAAUUCCCUUGUAACUCCCCAAGUACUCCUAACCAGACUGCAGUAAAACCCUUAGUUACUGGCAACCAACAGGGAUUCAGAAGUGCUGGAUGUGGAAAUUUUGGAUACUUGGGGUAUAUUCCGGAAGUCCCUGAGUAAUUUAGUAAUUUUAUCAAACCAAACAUGUUUACACAGGUACUAUCCACUCAGCAAUGCAUCUCCUGACGACAAGUAGGUAUAUGUAUGUAUGUAUGUAUGUAUGCAUAAUUCUCUGUUCCUCUGACUAAACUACCCUGCUUUCCUGCCUUCAUUCCUUUCUUCUCCUCAUCCUUUGAAAGUACACUUGUUCUUGGUCUGGGUCGAGUCUCUCAUCGUUGACUAUGGCGUGGCCUGAAAUAUUGCAUUUCACAUGCACACACACACACAUGCACAUACACAUGCAUGCAUGCACACAUGUAAGCACACAAACACACACACACACACACACACACACACACACAGUAUAUUAACAAAUGGCCAAUUCGGAUUCAGAGGAGGACGGUCUUGUGUAACUAAUCUGAUCAGCUUCUAUUCAAGAGUAAUUGAUAUAAUACAGGAAAGAGACGGUUGGGCAGAUUGUGUGUAUCUGGACUUAAAGAAGGCGUUUGAUGAAGUACCACACAAGUGAUUAAUAUGGAGACUUAAUCAUGUUGGAGGUCUGGGUGGUUCAAUAUUGGAUUGGAUUGUGGACUUUUUGAUGGAGAGAAAUGAGAACAAUAAUUAAGAAUAAUAAAUCAAGCUGGAUGGAAGUGACGAGUGGAGUCCCCCAAGGAUCGGUGCUGGGUCCGAUUAUGUUUGUAAUAUAUAUUAAUGACAUGACAGAAGGGGUGACAAGCUAUAUGAAUAUGUUUGCUGAUGAUGCUAAAAUAAUGAGGAGGGUGGCUAAUGAAGAAGACUGUGUAGCCCUGAGCCAAGACCUCGAUAGAGUAAGCGAAUGGUCACGCAAAUGGGAAAUGACAUUCAAUACAGAGAAGUGUAGCGUGAUGGAGUUUGGUAAGAGCAGUAGACGAAUAUCGGGGAACUACUCUCUGAGUAAUGAAAGAAUCAUGAAAAAAAAUGAAGAAAAAGAUCUGGGAGUGAUCAUAACAGACAAGUUAUCCUUUGGAAAACAUAUAGACCGGAUAACUGGGGAAACAUACAAUCUUCUUAGAAACAUAAAAGCAGCAUUUACAUAUUUAGAUGAAGAAAUGGUGAAGAAACUAAUAACAUCGAUGAUACGUCCAAGACUGGAAUAUGCAGCAUUAGUGUGGUCACCUAGAUUGAAGAAAGAAAUUAGAAAGUUGGAAAGAAUACAAAGA